CGUCCCGGAGGUACUAUUUGCGGUGGAAAAGGACCCGCGCUGCUACCGUGUCGAGUCGUGUCGAGUCGUGUCGUGUCGUGUCGAGUCGAGCUACAUGUGCGGUGGAAAAGCGGCAUAAGAUAUAUGAUAAUUAAGUAAAUAUAUUGGUGGGCUAGCGGAGAUCUUUACUGAGCUGCCAUCUAGCUCGACGUACCCACGUGACUCCGGAACUUCUCUUUAACUCCAUCAGAGCAUCUGGAGGCUGGAAUAACAACCCUAAUGCUGGCCAGUUCAAAUACAUCUUCAGAAAGCUGAUGGCCCAGUGUGGAGUUGUUAAACCAUGCAGAGGCAAUGUGACUGCACCGGAUGAGACAGUCCCUAUCAGCGGUCAUCGACACCUCUACAAGCCUGUCAGCUGUAGAUAUGUCCUCUCUAGCAGGAGGAGAAGAUCUUCCAUCCCCGUUUGCUGACAUUCCUGCCCUAGUACAUGACCACAGCUACCUUCCCGUCCGCUACGAUGGUCUUGUGGACAACUCUCUCGUGUACAUUUCUAGUGCCAAUAGUCAACUCUGAUUUGUUGUGAGACGGGCUCUGAAGAAGGUGUACUGUGAUGUGUCUGCCGUGCCAGCCUGACAGACGCUGCAUCUGCCAUCAAGAACCAGAGCUACCACCUGGCACAGUGAGGGUCGUCAGGGCAGCAGAGUGGGUCAUUCGCCAGGCAUCAGCUAGCUUCAGACCAUCACAGCCCAUCAAACUGCUAGAGGUCUUGUACAUUGUACGGAUGUGGAUCGGGUCAGAGGAUGUGUUGGUGCUCAGGGAGCACAUCGGCAACACGCAGACAGCCACCACAAUACACUGCUAACACUAGUUGUGUCCUUGUUUUUUAAGCUAAGGCUACAUUACAUCGCUCAAAUGACCACACUAAGCUCACAGAGCAACAACAUGCGACAGAAGCUCAAUAAAACAGUCCUUUUCAAAGGGCAUUAGCCCAAUGUUACGACCCUGGUGGGUCUCUCAUUGGGCCCGCCCAUUUUUGCUGCCUCUCUCUCUCUCCACCCCCCUUCCCGUGAGGAUGGACACCGGGGUUUCAGCGGCCCUCACCAGAUCGGCUCGAGGUCCGUCGUCUGUGGAUUACGUCACACAAUACGCUUUCUACAGCCACUCGGACAAACUAAAUUACAUUCUACUUUCACG
ensembl:lncRNA